CGUCAUUUGAUUGAGCCCAAGGAGAGAUCUUCAGUUUCAGAUCUUCUACAAAGUUUGCAUGUCUCGAUCGUCCACAAGAUUGCUGACACAAUGUGCUGCCGUUAAAAUAUAUUUUUUACUUAUUACGGAACCGGAACAUCGAUACGAAACCAGUUGUGAUGCUGAAAUAAACCGUGUAAAAAAAUGAGAAUCAGCACCGAUUAUUAUAUUAUAAUACAUAUGCGACCAAUAUAAAACUUACUUCGAUUUCGGUAGGCCAGUCGUGCCAUCCUUCAAGAAUAAAAGAGACGAAACCAAUCAUUUAAACAGUGAUAAACAGUUGUUGUGGUUAAAAUGCAAAUUACCAUGGAAAUUGUCCGGGAACAGCAUCAUCGCCGCCAAUAAUUCUUUGUUGAAUUGAAAUGCCACAAUUAUCGGCAUUGAUUAAACUUAAUUUUUCGAUUGAAUGUUUUGCAACACGCGACGGAAAUGUUGGCACAUCAUUCACUGAAUUUGGCAAUGCAUGCGGAAAAAUGAAAUUCGGUUCGUUGUCAACGUGAUUGAAAUCGAAACCGUUCGCUUCAUUCGAUAUAUGAUGAAAAUUUUUCAAUGGUUUUACAUGUUGAAAGUAUGGUGGAAUAUGAAAAUCGGGUGAAAAACUUGGCGGACAAUUGCGAUAUGUGCGCGGAUCUUCAAAGUUGAAAAAGUGAUAUUUUUUUGUUUUGCGUGUAUAGAAAUUCUUAUCGGUGAUCGGUUUUUUUGGACUAUGAACGUUAUUUGGUUGUUGUUGCUUCGAUUGGCCCCAAUUAUCGUCAUCCGGAUUCAAACGAUUGAAUAGAUUUGUUGGUUGUUUUUUUAUUGGUUUCGUUUGACUAUCCCAGAUCCAUGGUUUUUCCGUUGUGUGAACCUCGCGAAAAGUGCGUCCGUGCGGCAGCACAUCGGAUGAUGGACAACAUACCAACGGAUCUACGCCAGCAAAACCACAAGCUUUCUUUCGAAUGUCCUUCAUGAGAGUUGAUGACAGUGGUUUCGGUGCCGAACGUAAUUUUAAUACCCAUUGGUUCAUCUCUGUCUACAUAAUGCGGCAGCAUCGGUGCGUCAUCAUAAAAAAAAUAGUCUGGAUUCCAUGAAUAUACAGGCCACACUGUAAAUGAAUAAAAGUAGUAGCGAAAUUAACAAGCCCAAAUGAUGAAUCAUCAAUUUGAUUCAAUUCCAAACUUCAGAAAUGUCUUUUUUUAAUUAUUUCAGUUUGUCACACUUUCGCUUGAACCUUUGUCAUAUGCCUGAUUGCACACAUGUUCCGUUUGUUUAUUCGAAAAAUCCCCGAAUUAUUUAUAACUUACCGGUCAUAGCACCAAUAACACAAAUCCAAACAAUUUGACCAACAUUUA